rnacentral:rRNA from 1 species
AGCAGCCGCGGUAAUUCCAGCUCCAAUAGCGUAUAUUAAAGUUGUUGCAGUUAAAAAGCUCGUAGUUGAACUUCGGGGUUUACCCAUUGGUCAGGCUUAAUUGUCUGCACUGGUGAGAUAAAUCUCUACCUUCUGAGGAACUUUCAUGCCAUUUAUUUGGUGUAAUGGGAAAUCAGGACUGUUACUUUGAAAAAUUAGAGUGUUUAAAGCAGGCUAACGUCUGAAUACAUUAGCAUGGAAUAAUGAAAUAGGACGGACUGAUUCUAUUUCGUUGGUUUCUAGGAUCACCGUAAUGAUUAAUAGGGAUAGUUGGGGGCAUUAGUAUUCAAUUGUCAGAGGUGAAAUUCUUGGAUUUAUUGAAGACUAACUACUGCGAAAGCAUUUGCCAAGGAUGUUUUCAUUAAUCAAGAACGAAAGUUAGGGGAUCGAAGACGAUCAGAUACCGUCGUA